rnacentral:rRNA from 1 species
GAUCCUGGCUCAGGAUGAACGCUGGCGGCGUGCUUAACACAUGCAAGUCGAACGAGGAUUUAACGGAAUGCGAUUCGUCAAAUGAAAUUAAAUCCGAGUGGCGGACGGGUGAGUAACGCGUGGAUAACCUGCCUCACACAGGGGGACAACAGCCGGAAACGGCUGCUAAUACCGCAUAACACAAGCAAUUCGCAUGAACAGCUUGUCAAAGAUUUUAUCGGUGUGAGAUGGAUCCGCG